UGUGUGUGUGUGUGUGUGCGCUGACCCUCCCUUCUCCACUCCCUGGGUCAGUGUGUUGUCGCUCCAUGUGUCCACAGCACAGUGUGCCGAGUGGGAAAAUCAGAACUAUCCUGCUCUUCGUUUCCUGUCAGCAACACACACACACACACACACACACACACACGUGUGCCGGUGUGUGCGAGCGACAGACUGCAGAACCCCACUUUGGAAUAGCUGGAAAGGGACACCUGGAAGACUGCCACCCACACACACACACACACACACACACACACACACACACACACACACACACACACACACACACACACACACACACACACACACACACACACACACACACACACACACGUGUGCCGGUGUGUGCGAGAGACAGACUGCAGAACCCCACUUUGGAAUAGCUGAACCUGGAAGACUGCCUCGGUUUUACACUUUCUUUUUCUAUUUAUUCUUACUCUAGACAUUUCUCUCUCGCUCUCCAUCUCUCUCUCUCCAUCUCUUUUUUUCUUCCUUCCCUCUCUCUCCCUCUGUCUCCCUCUCUCUAUCCUCUCUCUCCUCUCCUCUCUCUCUCUCUCCUCUCUCUCUCUCCCUCUCUCCUCUCUCUCUCUUCAUCCCUCUCUCCCUCUCUCCGGUUCUCCUGUGCUCAUGCUCCUCUGCCUCUCCUCUCCCUGUUGGAUGGCCGUCAGGUGGAGAACUGGAGGACUAACCCCUUCCCAUCAGCCCCUCUGAGCUCAGGACAGAAGGACAGGAACAGAGGAAUAAACGGAGGAAUAAACGGAUAGACAAAACAGCAGAAAAGACUGUGACAGAGGAACGACUAACGCCUCUCGUCUGCAACAGGGAACUCGCUGAACUCGUCCCGUGUGGACACAGUCCUCUCACUGGGACAGCAUCUGUAUGGCAGAUUGAGCAGGUGAGUGUGUGAGUGAGUGUGUGGGUGUUUGUCUGGGUGUGUGUGGGUGUGUGUGGGUGUGUGUGGGUGUGUGUGUGUGAGUGUGUGUGAGUGUGUGUGUGUGUGUGUGUGUGUGUGAGUGUAUGUGUGCGUGUGUGUGCUGUUAGUAGUUCAGUCUGGGCUGUCUAUGUGCGGUUUGUGACAUCAGUGUGUGUGUGACAUCAGUGUGCGUGUGCGUGCAUGUGCAGUUUGGUGCAUCAGUGUGUGUGAGUGUGCUGUUUGUGACAUCAGUGUGUGUAUGCUGUUUGUGACAUCAGUGUGCGUGUGUGUGUGCUGUUUGUGACAUCAGUGUGUGUGUGCUGUUUGUGGCAUCAGUGUGCGUGUGCGUGUGUGUGCAGUUUGGUGCAUCAGUGUGUGUGUGUGCUGUUCGUGACAUCAGUGUGUGUGCUGUUUAUGACAUCAGUGUGUGUGUGUGUGCGGUUUGUGACAUCAGUGUGUGUGUGUGUGUGUGCUGUUUAUGACAUCAGUGUGUGUGUGUGUGCGGUUUGUGACAUCAGUGUGUGUGUGUGUGUGCUGUUUGUGACAUCAGUGUGUGUGUGUGUGUGUGCUGUUUGUGACAUCAGUGUGUGUGUG
ensembl:lncRNA